CGGGGACUGUUCCAGGCCACUGCGACCCCUGCGGGUGUCCUGUAACUAUGAGAAGCUGCAUAGACCCCCUGCUAAGGCCUGAGGCCUAUCUGGGAUCCCCAGGUCUCAGACCAGGCUCAGAAGAAUGGGCUGGGCACCCUGGACCUCUGCCUGAGCCACCUCCAGAAGCUACGGAUACUCUGCACCUCCUUUGCACCCGCAGAACUCACCGACCAGACAUGGAGCCAGAACAGAAAACCAGAAGAAUUAAAAUGCUGGCAUCAAAGAUGAUUAAGAAUACAUCAUGGAAAUCAAUUCAUGCCCUCCAAAGGCUGCUCCCACAAAGAGUCUGAGACCCUCUAGGAAUGUACCUCUGGGCCAACCAGAAUGGGAAGUGCCACCGUCAUUUCUAUGGACCUGAAAUCCGGAUUUAACUUACACCUUGCAAGAGGAGUAGUUUGAGGGAUAUCACCUGUGUAACAGCAAACAUGUUAACCUGAGCUAUGGGUGGAGCAAUGAUGUAACCUUUUAGAUUAUUGGCUUAUUGUGCUAAUUUUGUCUUGCUGCUAGAACCUAUCCAGGGGCUCGGGAACUCCCACCCUGUCGCUUCUCCACCCUAUAUCAUCUAUUGUAA